rnacentral:tRNA from 1 species
CAAGAAGUAGUUUAACAAGAAUAUCA